CAGACAUCAGCAUUUCCGUAUUGUACGUGCUCCAUUCCCAACUCCGGUUGACAAAAUACUCUAUCAUGGAAACAGUUUUUAAAAGCCGAUUCAUGAUCUUUGUCAUCCUGGGGUAAAGAUCAGAGGGAUUCAUACUCACUUUUAAGAAUCACUACUGGAAUGAGUACUGCACAGAGGCCAGAGACCUGUCUUCUACUUCUGUUUGAGCUGGCUUCUGCAUGCGCACCUGUGAACGGCUGUGUACCAUCCCACAGCCAAGGUGAGAUUGACGACUGUAUCAACGGGAAUUAAAUCUGCCACAGCCAUCGGAGCACCUCUUAUGGACCGAAGAAACCCUUUCCCA